rnacentral:rRNA from 1 species
AGCGAACGCUGGCGGCAGGCCUAACACAUGCAAGUCGAACGAACUCUUCGGAGUUAGUGGCGGACGGGUGAGUAACACGUGGGAACGUGCCUUUUGGUUCGGAAUAACUCAGGGAAACUUGUGCUAAUACCGAAUGUGCCCUUCGGGGGAAAGAUUUAUCGCCAUUAGAGCGGCCCGCGUCUGAUUAGCAAGUUGGUGAGGUAACGGCUCACCAAGGCGACGAUCAGUAGCUGGUCUGAGAGGAUGACCAGCCACACUGGGACUGAGACACGGCCCAGACUCCUACGGGAGGCAGCAGUGGGGAAUCUUGCGCAAUGGGCGAAAGCCUGACGCAGCCAUGCCGCGUGAAUGAUGAAGGUCUUAGGAUUGUAAAAUUCUUUCACCGGGGACGAUAAUGACGGUACCCGGAGAAGAAGCCCCGGCUAACUUCGUG